GCUAGAAUUGUUGAGCCCGUAUGGGAUAACUUUGGUGUUGCAACCUUGGAGGCUGCCGAGAUUGAGGGGGGACAGCUCUCACAAGAUAUAAUUGAUGAUAUGCAGCCUAUAAUUUUGUCGAACGCUUGGAAGUGGUGCGCUGGGAAUGGACUAUGGUUCUGGUUUGCUGCCUGGUUGCCACACCUCUUUGCCCUCCCCAUGGUGUCUUGUGCGAUGUAUAUGGCAUUGGUUUCUGUGAAUGUGGCCUCGUUUCCUUUUACAUAUCGUGUUUUGUAUUUUGUUAUUGUCUGUUAUUUUAUUGUAUUUUGCUUUGGUU
rnacentral:lncRNA from 1 species